GGCCUACCCUCCCCUCGCCCGGUCGCCCCACAACCUCCUCACGCAACCUACCUGGCCGCGCCCGGCGGCCCUAGGCCUCCUCUAUAAAACCAUCGCCCCUGCGCACCGUCCUCCCCCACCUCCCGAUCAAGCCAUCCAGCCGCCUCUCCUCGCCCUCCUGCCUGCGCGCAUCUCUCUAGAGCUUAAACUCUCCUAGAGAGAUCUCAGGCAGCCCCAAUAACCAACCGCUCGACCCAACUCGUCGUCGUCGUCGUCGCAGAUGGCCGGCCUCAGGAUGAAGCUCGUCGCCGCCGCCGCCGUGGCCGCCGCGCUCGUGGCGUCCGCCGCCGCCCAGGCCCCCGCGCCAGCGCCCACCUCCGACGCCUCGGCCGCGGUGCCCCUCGCGGCGGCGUCCUUCGCCGCCGCCGCCUUCGGCUACCUCUUCUGCUAGAUCCGUCGUCCGGGGAUGCCGUCGUGCUCCCUGGCCGGUCGGGCCUGCUGAUGAUGAUAUGAUUCGUUUUGGCGUGAGUCGAGUCCCCUGUUCGUGGCGCGUGUUGAGGGAUGUCGGUGGGCGUGUGUAUGUACGAGUCGGCGGCGGGUGGAGGUGUGCGCGCGUGUUGGAUACGUGCGUCGACGCGCCACUCUUUGUGGUGGAGAUCAUGUACCCGCUGCGCUUCUGUUUAUCAAUGAGAUGAUUUAUUUGAUUCUUUUCAUCUUAUAUACAAUAUACAUGAGAAUUGCGUAUUCAGUUUGUUGUGUUUUGCUCUGCAAACUUGCGAUGUGCAGAUUGUUGUAAAACACUGUCGAACGAUUCUCCCUCAAUCGAGUUCUUCCGUUGCAAAGAAAAAGAAAACGGUGCAUCUCUCUUAAAAAACGAUUACUAUUCUUACGACCUGAAAAUUAAGGGGUGCAGGCUACAGUUCAAACAUGUAAUUGGAAUCUGAAAUCGAUUUGACCGACUAAGGAACUCACCAUCUGAACUCUAAGCCCUUGUUUACUUCACCCCCAACUCCCAACUUUGGCACUAUGCAAAAAGAAGAUUCCCCAUCACAUCAAACUUGCGGUACAUGCAUGGAGUACUAAAUGUAGAUGAAAUUAAAAACUAAUUGCACAGUUGUUGUACUUUGCGAGAUGAAUCUUUUGAGCCUAAUUAGUCAAUGUUUGGACAAUAAUUCACAAAUACAAACGAAACGCUACAGUGUGCUACAGUGCUAGCACAGUAAUUUUACAUCUCCUAAUUUGACCAGCUAAACAAGGCCUAAGCAAAACGACCGGCAUAACGACUUUCAUUUAUGACCAACCAAUUCAGAAUUGACAAGCUUUAUUUUUCCUACCUCCCUCGAAAAGAAUGCUGUGGCACGGAGUCCUUGUGAAGUUCGUUAGGAGAUGCCGGGCCGGGGUUGCUUAAUCAGUUUGGUGAGGGAUCCGAACGUUGAAAUGAUUGAAGCAUGUUGGCGUCGCCACUUGCCAGCCAAGAAGCCAUGUGCUGCUCGUUAAGCACUGGUCCACAGAUGAGUUGUCUUGGUAGGGGCAGCCGUACCCGCUGUAUCACCGCUGGCAUGCUCCAAGCUGGAAAUGGUGAGCCGUCGCAAUCGCUGCAGUAUUACCCGACUAGUAUGUGCUUUAUGGAAUUGCAGGACUGCUUAAUUUUGACCGUGCUCGUGGAUUUAGAUGCUGGUCGAUGGCUCCAGCUCGAUGCCUUUUCCUACUGUACUGGCUACUGCCGACCGAGAGUCUCAGAGCGUGCAGAAUGCAGGUCGAGUUCCGCAAAGUUGUUGGCGUACACAGCUGGGGAUUGGGCCAGUGCCAGCUCUACACACCACUGGGCCACCUUUGUGUUUUCUCCGGCCUGCUUGAAAAUGUAUUGGGCCAGUUUGUUGGGCCGCUUACUUACAUCUGUGCUCAGCUAAAUCCAGCGAGAACAAUGGAAGAGUUUUUGGCUCUAUACAACAAAUCUUUUGGUUUUUUCCCCCCCUUUCUUUUUCAUCCACAUAAGACACCCACGAUGGCGUUUAUAUUUGUAAGAUAACUGAGUUGCAUUUUUAAGUGCCUCAUUUCUGGAUUAUCGGGCAGCUUCUGAAAGGAAGCUCCAAUUAUAGUAGACGAAGUAGAAGGUUUUUUUUUCGAUUCAAGACCUGGAACGUAGGUAGCUAGAGUCUACGCACUGCAGUUACAUACUGACAAAUUGCAAUGGCGAGUCGGCGACCGACAAGCAGAGGCCAGGCACAGCUGCGUCACAUGAACUCGCUCAUCAUGGCGAGCACCUGCGCCAUCGUGGGCCUCUCCUCCGGCGCCUCGGCGGUGCACAGCACGCCGAUCUUCACCAUCCCCAUCGUCUCCUCCCCUUCGCCGCCUUCCUCGCCGUCGGCGGCCUUGUGGUCCGUCACCACCUCCAGGAGCACCAUCCCGAAGCUGUACACGUCGGACUCCUGCGUCGCCCUCGCGCCCGCGCCCGACGCCAGCUCCGGCGCCGCGUACCCGUGCCACCCGACGCUCGCCGCUGGCGGGGCCGCCGACGACGUCGCGGUCGCCGCCCGGCCCAGGAACAGGUCCGGCGGGCACCGGGCGGCCUGCGGGACGACGGACUGCUGGAUGUUUGUGGCGUAGCGCAUGAGCCCGCACUCGGACACGCACGCGCCGCCGCGCUCGUCCAGGAGGAUGUUGGACGGCUUCACGUUCGCGUGCACAAGCGCCGGCCGCGCCGGGAACGUGUGGAUGUAGUUCAGGCCCUGCGCCGCGCCGAACAGUAUGCUCUUCCUCCCCGCCCAGUCCAGGCUCCUCGCGCCACCACCUGCAGCAACAACAACGGCCCGUCAGGAACACUCGCUUUCUUGCACCGACUGCAAAUUGGCAAUGCAUUUGGGAUUUCAUUAUCUCAUUUCAGCGCGACGACGCACCACUGGCUUGCAGAAGGGACUGGAGGCUCCCGUUGGGGAGGAAGUCGUAGACGAGGAGGCGCUCGCCGUUGGAGUUGCAGUACCCCCUGAGGCUGACGACGUGCCGGUGGCGGAGCCGGCCGACGAGCCGCAUGUGGCGGUCGAACGCCUUGCUCCGGCUGGCGGGGAACUGCAGCGCGCUCAGGCGCUUGACGGCCACCACGAUGCCGUCGUCGAGCACCGCCUUGUAGGUGCUCCCGGACACGCCCUUGCCGAGCACCUCGGCGGACGCCUUGAGGAGGCUCUCCAGCCGCAGCUCCUCGCCGCCCUCGAAGCAGACCAACCCGCCGCUCUUCUGGCACUUGUCGUCCCCGUUCGCCCUCUUCUCUUGCUCCUCGAAGGAGAGUGCCGCGUCGGAGGCGUCCUUCGCCGACCGGAGCUUCCUCCUCAUGUAGACGAACAUGGCCACGGAGAUGGCUAGCGAGACCGUGAUGAGCACUGCGUUGCCAAUGCCGGUGGCCAUGAGUGCAGUCAAGCUAAGCUUACUGAAACCUCCAUUGCUGGAACUGGAAGGCACACUACCACUAACGUUCACUGCAGCACCAGGAGAUUGAGCAGCGAUACUGGUGGUAGCAUUGGAAGAACUAUCCGAUCCUAACGCAUUAUAAGCACGAACACAUCUUGGCAGAGGCGUGCCACAGAGAGCGAGAUUGCCGCCGAAAGUCGACCUCGGGAACCUGGACAGAUCGCCGGAGAUCUCCCCAGCGAGCUUGUUCCCGGACACGUUCAAGCUCCUGAGCGACGGGGCGCGCAGCGCCUCCAGGCCUCCACGGAAGCCAUUGUGCUCCGCUCUAAGCGUGAGCAGAGCACCCAGCGAGAUGUUCAGGCUCCCGGUGAGCCGGUUGCGGGCGACGAGCAGGUGCCGCAGCCACGGGCUCGCCGUGGCGUCGUCCAGCGGGGGGAGGGCGCCGGACAGGGAGUUGUUCCUGACGGCGAGCGCCCUGAUAUGGCUGAGCCGCAGGAGCGGCGCCACCUCGCCGGCCAGCGAGGCGCCGUCGAGGAAGACCCCCACCACCCUGCCCCUGGAGCACCUGAUCCCGAACCACGUGCCGGAGCACGGGUUGGGGCCGUGCCAGGUCGCCAGGGCCGUGGCGUUCGGGUUGUAGGACUUGAAGGAGAGCAGCGCGGGCAGGUCCUGGUGGCCGCCAUUGCCGACCUCUCCGUGCACAGAAGGUACCGAUAGGUGGUAGACGAGGACGGCGAGGAGCAGGAAGGUGGAAUGGUGGAAACGAGGCAUUUUGGUAGCUGUAAGAAUUUUCUUCUGUGUUUGACCGAGAAAUCUAUCCACUCGUUUUAUAGCACGGGCCGGUAACAAUUCAGCGCGGGGAAGUAGAAAAUUUUGAAUGGCGCACGAGCACAAAGGCGUGGAACGACGACGAGCAGAGGGGUCCAAAGAGGAAAGCUGGGUACCUGCGCCGACGUCGUGGGUGGGUGUCGAUGCUGAGGUCGUGGGGAGGAGGGUGGAGGUGAAAAGCGGCGCCAUGGAGGACAGGAGGAGAGGUCCAAGGGGAUGGGGAGCUGACGAGGUGCCCUUUUUCCUCCCUUGGGCAGAAGGAACUUGGACGUAUCUGGUGGGCUGCACGUAGCCGUGAUGGUCGUCGCGCCGGGGAGAUGCUGGUGCUCGCUUCGCUUUACGGAAGCGGCCGAAAGGAAGCAAGAGGGCUCGGGGUUCCACGGCGCGUGGUGGAGUAUCGGGUUCACGAGACGAGACGGGAGUAGCGAGUGGGGACGUUGGCGUCAGGUGGCGCCACGCACCGGUAGGGGAGCAGACAGGAAUGGAUUCCAGCUUCACGUUGCACUAGUCCCCCAGAGUCACAGUGAACCCGGAACACUGAACUGGGUUCAGGUGUCGGGGCAUCUAUUGUUGGGUCCGUUCGUGCUGUGGGCCGAGCCAGGUCUUGCCACCCGAUCCAGCCCAGUAACCGGAGUAGCCAAGAUUUUGUUGGGGCGUCGGGUUCAAACUUCAAAUUGGCAGGUGGAGACGCUUCCAAACGGGUUCAUAGUGAGUCAUUGCUACUGGUACUACGGAGGACUAGGAAGGUUAAUUAUCAUUAUGAACAGUGUUAGUUAGCACCGUCGUCUGAAUGAAAGGUCAUGACAUGCUCGUGAAACCUCGAUUCUAAUGUAUGCGCGCAGUUUUUGGUAUAUCAACUCAGAACUCGACUGGUGGUGUGGUGAGCACAAAAAUGCAUCUUGUUUUUUUUUCCCACUAAGGGCUACGUCCAAAUUUCAUUACUGUUUAGGCAAUGAAAUUACAGAGUAUGAGAGUUGUCGACACCAUGGUCACACCAGAGAUUACAAAAGCAUCUCCAGGAGGACAGGUGCAGACGGCCUUUCCACCUGGGAGGAAUAAAGCGAGCCUACUUAUUACAUGACACAGAACUAACAGCAUGCUAAACAUCUCACAGCCAACCAAACUAGGAACAUUUCUCAACCAGCCUCCAAAGUUGCUUUGAGCAUCACACUGUAUCCAGACUUCCUGGCUUGAUUUGGGACAGCACUUCUUCUCUUUUUUACUGCAGCAGUACCAUCCCUGUGUCGUCGGUUGUUGCUUCACGGGGGUGAAAGUGCAACGCCGUCGCCUUCAUUGCAUCAGCGCCAGCCUCCAGGAUCGUCCUCCCCUCCGGCUUAUGAAGACCUGCUCAAUAUGAAAUGAAAACAGAUGCUGAACAUAUAAUCUCUGAAGGAGAUUUGACCUAUUUUUUAUCAAAGCAAGCAGCAUUUCUAGCUUUCCAGAGUGCCCAGCAGACCGCUGACAGCCCCACCACAUGGAUGUUUUUGUUUUGUGACAUAUACUAUCUAGUCCAUUCCCAAAAUUGGGCAAAGGUAGUUGGUCUACAUGGAGCACCAAUUACCAUGGCAAUAAGGCUCCAUACAUACCUAGCCAAGGCAUAUCCAAAGAAAAGGUGUUUCGAUGUUUUCUUCCAUAUGACAGAAACAACAGCUUUUGUCCCCCUGCCAGUUGCGUUUUAUAAGGUUGUCUUUAGUCAGAAUAGCAUCUUUUUGGAUUAACCACAUAAAGAUUUUUAUCUUCAAAGGGAUUUUGGCUUUCCAAAUAUUGUCAUGAGGACUGGGUAUAGACUACCGCCUCAUCAUCGACACAUCGAACAACGAUGGCAAGGAUGCCAAGUACGAGGCGGUGGUUCAUGAGAAAAACUGGGGAGACCAAAUCACUCUCUUGUCCUUUAAGCGAGCAGACUCUCAGCAACAAUUGGCAUGAGCAUGUUAAUCACUCUCUUGUCCUUUAAGGAUGCCAAUGAUUUGUAGUAGGGUUGCCACCUUGAUUAAUGCUUAUCACUACUUGCUCUACAACUAUUGCAUUUUGUGUUUACUCCAUUUAGCGUCCUUUCGUUACGCCUUGCUUAAUGCUUAUCACUACUUGCUCUACAACUGCUGCAUUUUGUGUUUACUCCAUUUAGCGUCCUUUUGUUAAUCGUUGAAAUGGCGUGGUAGCUGCUGCGUAAUGCGUAUCAUGUAAUUUGGCAUCUCCAAUAUAAAUGGGAUUUUCAGCCUAAAUAAAAUGUGAUUGGGAAAUUUGGCUUCCCACUUUUGUACAUGAUGCAAACGGUCAUAUACAUGCACACACAAUUACAAAUACACGCACGCUAGUUCGAUCUUCAAGUUUAAUAUAGUUUCAGCUGUUCAAACAUUGGAUUGAACAUGACCGAUCCAUUUGAAAGUAGAUUGCUUUCAAACACAAAACGUGGAUUGCGUUAAAUAUUUUUAUUAGACAUAUUAGGAAUGUAAAAGUCAAAUUUAUAAUAAUUUAACCAAACAUUAGUCAAAUUCUAUAAAUCCUCAGUAUAAAAGUUAUAUGGAUGAAUUCAAAUAUGAAAUAUCUUACUUCUAUACAUCUAAUAGUAUAUUGUAAUAGAAACUAUAUCAGUCAAUAUAUAUCUAUAAAUAUUUUCAAAUCAUCAUGUGCCUACUAAAAACAAACAAAGUUAAUGUUAUGGUUGUGAUUUUAUUGCUACAAAUAUUACUAGUAUUAUAAGAGCAUCUGCAGCAGUCUCCCAAUAAAUAUUUCCCAAUAACUAGUUAAUAGGGAUAUUCCAAUAUCACUUUCAUCGUUAUUGGGAGAGUUGCUUUUGCAGUCUCCCAAUAAUUUCAUCCCAAUCCAACUACCGUAUUGAGAGAGUUACAACUCCUUUAUUUAGGGAGAGUUGGGAUGAAUUAUUGGGUUGUCCCAAUAAUUAUUGGGAAAAGGGAAAGUUAAAGGAAGACUGUUGGAACACUAUUUUCUUAUCAACUCUCUCAAUAUGAUAGUUGGAUUGAGGAAAGGGAGAUUGCUAAAGAUGCUCUAAUAAGCUAUGUAUUCAAAACAAAGUGGUCAUGCGGGUAUUAGAGUUGUGAUCCGAAAUAACGGCAGGAAAAUUCUGUUAUCUGCAUGGCGAGUCAUUUUUUAUGCAGUGAGCGUACAGGAAGUGGAGGCAUUGGCAUGCAAAGAAGGGUGGCCCUUGAAGGGAGCCCGCGAUCUUAGAGUUAGACUGCAGUGCGGUCAUUCACUAAAUCAAGGAAGCGAGUAAGAUGAUACUAGCUAGCAUAAUUUUUCACGGUCUAGAAGGCUAAGCGCCUAGCGGAAAGUCUCCCAUGUCUCGUUUUGAGUCAUGUAAAGAGAUAGCAGAACGUAGUCGCACAUGAGCUUGCGAAGCAAAUCGCAAUGUAGUGUGGUGUGAUCAUCCCCCACUUAUAUGAGCAUUUGAUUGCUCAUGCCUGUAAAUUUUUUUUUGAGCAAUCAAUAAAGCGCUCUCUCUUUUUUAAAAAAAAAUUUGCAAAGAAAGAGACUACGAAUCAAAGUUGGAGAAUGUGACGAGUCAAAGCAUAUUGUGAAAUGGAGGCAGCAAAAUCCUAACGCUUCCUGUCGCAUCGACGUUCGAGCUCUGUGUACUUAAUUGAUUGCCACGUAGAAGCCGAAGAGUGCAGCGUCGAUUCAACUGGCGCGCGUCUAGACCCUAUAAAAGGACGGGGUUUCCAAGGCAGCACUGCACCGAUGCUUGCUCUGCACCAGCAAAGGCAGUCAAACUAACAGUACGCCGGGCACCGGAAGAUCGAUCGACCAGGCAUGUCGCCGCCGCCGGAGCAGGACAGGAGGCUUGGCGUCGUCAAGCCGGAGCCCGAUCCCAUGAUCAAGCUCAAGGUGCUGGACAACGAGGGUCGCAGGGUCUUCCACUCCAUGAGGAUGUCCGACAAGCUCCAGGCGGUCAUGGAUGCGUACUACGCGAAGGCGCCCGACGUGACCUACGGCUCCGGGACCUUCAUGUUCGAUGGAUCCAUCCGGCUGCGGGGCAGCGAGACGCCGGCGGAGCACGGUCUGCAAGAUGACGACGUGAUCGACUCCUACGAGGACCUGGUGGGCGGCGGACGGGACGACGCCUGAUGCACCGGACCGGCGGCUGAUCGAUCGAUGGCCGCGCGAGUACGUCGUAGCAGUCGUUUAAUGGAUGUCGUUAUAUUAUCAUUCGCCAGUCAUCACUAGUCUCCAAUUAUUACAAAGACGUAUCAUCUACUAGGAUUCAUCUUUCUACUAUACAUGCAAGGUGGAUCCAAUAUGUUCUCUUGAAACUUUGUUAUUGAUGCAUCUUCACAGUUUACCUGCUGAAUUCAACUGUCAAAACUUUUCUAAGGCCCCGUUUGGAUCAUUGGAAUUGAAUUCCAUCCUAAUAAUCAUAAUUUAGACACAAAUUAAUUAAACUAAUAUAAUUGUAUGUGGAAUAUAGUUGUAUAUUAUAGUUGGUGAUAUGGGAGAGAUACUUGUAUGCUGCACUUCUACUAUAGAGAAGCGAGUCUAAGAGCGUGCUAUAAGAAUUGAAUUCCAUUCUAAUAACCAUAAUCUAUAGAAUCAAUUUCCAUCUCCCACCCCAUGAAUUUAAAAUAGGCUUAUAUCUAAACUUUGGAAAGUUGUGGAAUGCCACAUUCCAACAUAAAUUAGCCUACUCCAUUAAAUAGAUUCCAAUUCCUUGGACCCAAACGGGGCCUAAGCGAAAUGAAGCGUUCGUGGUAUAGCACUUGGAUCAUCCACGGCCCGAUGAUCGAUUGCCCAGGCGGCUGAGAUCUCUUUAGUCGUCUAGAGCUCACGGGGGAAUUCCGAAGAUGCGUUCGGGGCAUUCGAUAGCUUAGCCGCGUCCUGGUACGUCAUGAUUCAUGAACAGUUUGAUCUGGUAAAUUAUGAUUUCAUUGAAGACAUUGCCGUUCCAUUUUCUAUUGAUGAAUUUUUUUAUUAAUCUUCUCGUAAAAAGUUUUUGACGAGGCACUUUAUGCGAUCCAUUGCUUACGAUAUACAUCAAGUUCAACAAAGUGGUUUGGCCUUUUUUUUAGAUAUGCAAAAUAUAAAUCUAUUGAUGCAACUUUGAGACAUGAAAACAUAUAAUUUGACUACUCUUGGAGUAAAACCUACAAAUUAAAGUAUUGACUAUUUGAUACACCCUACGUAAAGAAACAGAGUAAGCAAUGCACGUCAAGCAGACAAAUGAUACGAUCAAGUUCAACAAAUUAAAGUGGUUAGUGGUGAGAAGCAGAUUUUGGUAGGCAUAUACUUCCGUCUCAUCAUCGAUGCGUCGAACAACAAUGGCACGGAUGGCAAGUAUGAGGCGGUGGUGCACGAGAUGGAUUGGGGAGAAAAACUCUCCCUUGAGUCCUUUUAAGUCGGCUAAUUGAUCUACAAUUAGAAUGACCGUCUUAAUGCAAUUAUCCUAAAUAAUGAUGUCAAGGUGUAUUUUCAUGCCUUUGGAUUUUUUUAUGGUUAUAUACAAUUGUCUCAGGAAGCUUGUGCCUCAAGCAUGUCUCUCUCCUAGGAGUAGAUCACUGCCUCACUGGAGACCACAAGAUCAUAGAGCUUCCGACUAAAGUGAGCAGUUUCUUCGAGCUUCUGAGUUCACCAGAAAGAGCGAGGUUGCUACUAAAGGGAGCAGUUUCUUCGAGCUUCUGACUAAAUCGAUCCAAAAUUAUGUCAAACAAUUUCCACUAAAUUACAAGAUAACUAUAUAUUGCAGGAGCUGAUGUGAUAUGAAUCCACUAAAUCACUUCCAAGUUGUAUUUGAACAAACUGUCCAUCGGUUUCCAUCCAUUUCGCCGGAAUACAAGCUCUUAUUAGUAAGGGCUGCAUGCAAGGACUGUCUUAAUUUUUUGCUGUAAGGUAAAACUAGUUGUCAAUUAAUUUCAGGCCAAUCAUUUUCUACUAAAAAUUGCAAGAUACUACUUAAUUUGACACAUCCAAUUAAUAUUUUCCAAAUUGUAUCGAACACCCUGUCCAUCAGCCAUUUGUUGGCAACGUCACGAGGCUAAGUGCUAUUAAAUGCCUCAGUCGUGUCUCCAAUCUUCAGCAAAAACUAUGAACCUGCCAAUCUUGUUAGUACUUCAAUAGACUUCCUCGAUUCUAAAUUAUAGUUCACUUUAGCGUUGUUCUAAACCAAACUAUUCUCUCUGACUAAAUGUAUAGAAAAAUAGAACAAUAUCUACUAUCAGCAUAUUUCUUAGCAGAUUCAAUGAAACUAUAAUUUGACGUUAUAGAUCUUAAUGCCUUUUUUAUGAACUUGAUCAAAGUUAAAGAGAUUUGACUCAGAACAAUACUCGUAUAUACUACUUACAUUUUAAAAGAAGUAUAAAAUAAAGUAGUUAUUGUAAUGAAUGUAAAAUAAGCUUAGAAGAAACCUCAAUGACCAAAUUGGGACUGCAGAAAGUACUUUCUCCACCCUAUUACUGGCUCCGCACGCACAAGAGAAACAAAAGCACGAGCUUGUGGCCAUUAUUCAAACAAUAAAAUUAGCACUAGUCACUUGGAGAGAAACCGGCAAAACAUCCAGAAAUAUACCACACAUAGGGGUGGUAAUGGAUCAUGCCUCCUUCACAAUCCAACUCAACCCUAUUUAUUUUUAGUUCAAAAUCAUAUAUUAUUAUAGCCCGAUACAUAUUGAGCAUGAUCCUUAAAUUUGCUAAGUUAAAUUAGAGGGCCCUUUACCACACCUAACCACGCCACAAGAACAAAAUUCAACAAGCUGUUGGUAACUCGGUACUCUACCGGUUGGAUACAAAACAAUAUUAAAAACUGCUGCUACUAAUAUUCUCUUAAUGAAAUACAUGCACGUUUAUAAAAAAAAUGACUCACAUGACCCUCCUAAACCUAGAGAACAGACUCGAUUGAAACUAAUCGGGAACCUAAUAAUAGUGAGCACAGUCACUGGCAUGUAAAUAAACUAAGUAGAGCUGUAUAUCUAGAUAUUGAGGUAGUUCUUGAUGGACUCCUCGAACUCCUUGACGACGGCUUUCCAUCCGGCAUGGGUCGGGUUGAUGUCGUCCCAGUAGAAGAACUUGUCCGGCUUGGACCCCAGGCUGUACUGCGGCUCACCGUCCUGCACCUGCCCGCAGAACCCGCUCCGGUCGAAGCUCUCGCAGCACGACUCCAGCCUGUACUUGAACUGCUUCGAUCGCGGCGACGGGCCCGCGUAGUGGCUGAAUGCGGCUUUCAGGUCGAGGUUGAAGACGGCCUCGUCCUGGAACACCUUCUCCUCGAGGUACGAGUUGUGGAUGCUCGCCACCUUCUGGCUGUCGCACUUGGCAUCGUAGACGCCGUCCUCGGACCUCGACAGCCACGGCGUGCACCCGAGCGGGGGCAGCGAGGUCACCACCACCUUCUCGACGCCCAGGUCCAUCAGCUGGUCCACGGCGUCGGCGAUCUUGUCCGUCACCUCCUGGGCCUUGGCCUUCACCUCCGUGCUGGUCAUGUCGUUGAAGCGCUCGUAGUCGCGCCUGCCGGAGAAGGCGAUGAGCGCGACGGAGUCCGUGAGGUCCUCGUCGAUGAUGCCGAGCCUGACCAGCCUCUUGAACUUGUCCACCUGCCUGCCGAGCCUGGGCGCGUCGCUCGUCCCCUCCACCACGCCGGCGCCGCCGACGGCGAAGUUCAUGCCGGACGGAUCGACGCCGUCCUGCUUCCUCUUACUCUCCGCCGGAGGGGACUCCUUCCGCCCCAGAAUCCUCGCUGCACAAAUUAUGUAUUGAUGAGACAGGGCCAGGAUUUAGAAUAUUAAGUACUGAUCCGAGCUUAUUAUUACGUACCGAAGAAAUCAGAGAGGACCAAGCCGUUGGAGAAGCGGCCGCUUGGAGUGGCGCCGUGCUCCUUGUCGUUGCUGCCGUACGGGUAGUACCAUGCGCGCGUCGUCUUGGUCAGGUCUGCUAGCGGGAAGUUGCCGGCGUCGGCGAACUCGUCGCCGAACACGAACAGCUUAUACCGCCGGCCCGAGUCGCUGUCGCGAUGGCGUCGGGACUCCACAUGAGCAGCUGCUAACAACAACGUUAAUUAAAGCUCCGAUCCGAGAGCAGAACAAUGCACGACAGCAAGUAAACCACCUGGAGAAAUUAGCAAGAACAAGCAGAACAACACAUACCGUUCAGCAGGAGUAGGAGGCCGCAGACGGCGGCGAAAAGAAGCUUCAUGCUGGCUGGUUCCUUGGAUUUCGAUCGAAGGCGAGUUGCGCGGGGCGCGGGUGUUGAGGUGAGUCAAUUGCUGAGUCGUGGUGCCAGGACGACGGCGAGCGUCGCAAUUUAUACACGGGAGAUCGAGUUCCGAGUCCUACUGGGGGUGGGGGAGGCGCGCUUGUUUGCCCAGUCCGCCGCCGACUGUAACUCGUUUCCAAGCCUAGCUGGUACACUGACGAACAACAAGUCAGAAAGCCGACGAUUCCUGCUCGGAGUUGGCGGGUUGGCGGGCCUUUUCUCUCUAGGAUCUCACCAGGCCUCAAAAUACCCGGGCCAGUACAGCAGAAGAGGCCCAUCGCUACCACCCCAAUACAUGCAUACGACCAGCGUUCACUAAUGGGCCCCAUCCCUGUCUGCACGGACGACGAUAGAAGUUGGCCCGAAAUCAACACGGCUGGGCCUGGGCUGUGCAUCACAGAACCCUUUUUUUCUUUGGCGACGAACAAAACCCCUCGCCACUACUACUUAGCCACGCAUGAUGAUGAUGAAUUUACGUUUGAUGAUUGCUUGUUGAUCAAUCAGUCGAUCGAUCGAUCUGCGGAGUACUCUGACGGAAGGAAAGCUAACCCUCUCCGCCGGCGCCGGCGCCACCGCAAUGUGGUUCACCUCCCGUCGCAAACCCAACGCCGCCGAACCUUCCGAGGAUGCACCGUCGUCCUCCUCGCCACGCAGCUCGCAACCCCGCGGCUACUCCCUCCGCAUCUCAUCCUCCAACCCCUGCCCCCAAACCCAGAGCUCCCGCGACGGAGCCCUAGCCUCCGCCACCUCCUCCUCCGCCGCCGCCUGCGACCUCGGCGGCGGAUGGGGGAACUCCGUAGGCCGCGGCGGCGGCGGCUUCCUGUGGUGGAUCUUCUCCGCCGGAGCGGCGCGCGCGGACGAGGGGAAGCCGGCGGGGGCCGACUGGGACGCGCACGGGCUCCCGGUCACGCGCACACCGGUGCCGCUCUCCAGGCUCGACGGGAGGAAGCGGUACAAGGUCUCCGAGCUCAACUUCCUUGACUGCCGCGCCCGGGACCGCGCCAGCGCCCGGGACCGCGCCAGCGCCGCGGAGAAGAACCCCUUGUUCGACGACAUGGCCAAGCUGCGCCCCGGCGGCGUGUACACCCGGUCGCAGCUGCUCGGGCAGCUCCAGGCGAUGACCUCCUCCGGCAUGUUCGAGCAGGUCAGCCUCCAAGGGAAGCCCAAGCCGGACGGCACGCUCGCGCUCACCGUCACCUACGCCGAGAACAUCUGGCCUGGAGCCACCAAACGGCUCAAGUGCGUCAACGUUGGACUCAUGGCGCCGCCCGACGCUGGCCCUGCUGAGGACAUGACGGCGAGGGAGAAGAUGGAUUACAUCCGGAGGCAGGACCAUGACUACCGGCAGCGAAUCCGCAGCGCCAAGCGGUGCAUUCUACCGGAGUCUGUGCGCGAGGAGGUGCUGGGGAUGGUGAAGAAGCAGGGGAAGUUGACCGCCGGGGUGCUGCAAAGGAUGAGGGACCGCGUCGAGAAGUGGUACCACGACGAGGGCUUUGUGUUCGCCCUGGUGCAGAACUUCGGGAACCUCGACACCGACGAGGUUGUGUUGGAGGUGGUAGAGGGGGACAUCACCAUGGUGGAGUACCAGUUUCAGGACAAGCUUGACAAUAUCGUCGAGGGGAACACUCACAUCGCUGUCGUUGACCGGGAGCUGCCCCAGCAGGUAUGUAUAUAUAUAUAGGCAAUUUUCCUUACUACAUCAACAUCAGUUCCAUGGUUAAUUAACAUGUUCUGUUCGAGAUGUCUAUGGAUGAAUUGUUGUUUAAUGUGCCACGAGUUGAUUGGUUCGAUGUAUUCUAUUACGAUUCUCAAACACAUUUACUCUGACCUGAUAUGCUUUCUUGCAACCAUGUAAUUUACCUUCUGCCUUUCUUACACUGUGCAGCUUCGACCUGGCCAUAUCUAUAACAUUGGGGCAGGGAAACAAGCUCUGAAGCAUAUCAAUUCACUCGCUUUAUUCUCCAAUAUAGAAGUGAACCCUCGCCCUGACGAGACAAAAGAAGGGGGUGUAGUGGUUGAAAUAAAACUCAAGGAACAUGAACCAAAGUCGGCCGAAGUAACUACAGAGUGGAGCAUUGUACCUGUGCAUCAAGGGAGACCAACUCUUGUAAGGCACCACUUAUUUGUAACCUUUUUUCCUUCUUCUCUGCAGAAUCUGUACCUUGAAUGAUAGAAAACAUCAUAAAUAUAUAACCGCCAAUCAUUAUAAAUCCAUGUUUCACAACCCAUCUCACGGAAACUUUCUUUUUAGGCAUCAAUUCAACCUGGAGGAACUGUGUCAUUUGAGCACCGCAACAUCUCUGGUUUAAACAGAUCUCUUGUCGGUUCUGUUACUUCCAGCAACCUGCUCAAUCCUCAGGUGAGUUGGUACUGAGUUCUUUUAUUGAAAACAGAAGCUUUGAUGCAAUGUUGCUUUGGUUUACAAUUACAUCUACAUUCGCUCUGAUCUGCUUGUACUAAAUUAGCUGAAUUGUCACUUAUAACCGUCUCAGUCUUCCUUUGUAACUAUAUGUUUCGAGUCAUAUUUCAAUUAUCAUUAUUACAUGAAGUGUGGAACUCAGUUGAGUGUCUUCUGCAUUGAAAUGUGAAACAUUGCAGACUUUAAUUGCCAUUCUGCUGCAAUCUGAAAUAAGUAAAUAAAAUUAUACCCUUGUUUCAUGAUUUAAAAACAUUUAGUUUAUAAAAUGUACUGGUAUGGUUUACAAGGCAUAUGUUUCAUUUUUAACUGAUCCGUUAUAUUUGUAUUUACGGCAUGUUUCUUUUGGGAUAUCAGGAUCAUCUCUCAUUCAAGCUUGAGUAUGCCCAUCCUUAUUUGGAUGGUGUGGACGACCGUAGUAGAAACCGCACCUUCAAAGCUAGCUGCUUCAACGUCAGGAAAUUAAGUCCUGUCUUUGUUGCUGGCCCCAACAUGGAUGACGCUCCACCUAUCUGGGUUGAUAGAGUUGGAAUUAAAGCCACUAUAACAGAGGUUUGCACAGAUUGAUAUUACCUUCUUCAUCUUUUGAUUUUCAUAAAUAUCUACUCCCAAGAUAUAUUUUUAACAUGAGGAAACUGCAUUUGGAAAUUUUUUCAGAGCUUUACAAGGCAGAGCAAAUUCACUUAUGGCCUCGUGUUGGAAGAGAUUAAAACACGCGAUGAAGAUAACAACAUAUGCACACAUGGUUCUCGAGUAUUGCCUAUUGGUGCAUUGAACAUGGAUGGACCUCCCACAACCUUCAGUGGUACCGGUGUAGAUCGAAUGGCAUUUCUACAAGCUAAUAUAACUCGAGACAAUACUGAGUUUGUAAACGGGGCAACUAUUGGUGACAGAUGUAUAUUCCAGGUGGGGUGUUUUGUUCUCAGUGAAUUUUCAAUUGUUGCUGGGUGUUUAAAACCAAAUUGACUGCACUGUGCCAAAAGGAGAAAGCCAGCUCCUUACACAACUGAUGUUUCUGUUUUCGUAUGAGGCUGCUGCACAAUGCAUAAUGCUGACUGUUUAGGCACAUUUUAGCAAAUGUUAUCAUUACAAUUUUUUUAGAAUCAAGGUAUUCUUGUUUAUGUUAUAAUUGCUUUUCAGUUAUAUUUUAAAUAUCUGGGUUAGUUCUUGUUUAACAGCAUCAUGUGUUUAUAGAAAGUUCUCCAUGGUAAAGUAAAUCCACUUAUAAUUUUCUUGUGGGCCGCAGUUGGACCAAGGUCUUGGCAUUGGAAGCAAAAAUCCAUUCUUCAACCGUCAUCAGCUUUCAGCGACAAAGUUCAUUAAUUUGAAUAAGCAAGAUAAAGGUGCUGGCAAGCCACCACCAGCAAUUUUGGCGAUUCAUGGUCGCUACGCAGGCUGUGUAGGAGAUCUGCCGAGCUAUGAUGCAUUUGCAAUCGGAGGACCUCACUCUGUUAGGGGCUAUGGCAUGGGAGAACUGGGUGCUUCCAGGAAUCUUCUUGAGGUGAGCAUCAAACUAUCGAUCCUCAGGGGGAUUUGGCACUUACUCUGAAUCAUGAUGCAUAGUUGUUAUCGCUGUUCAUGUCGUAGUCGUGGAGGUUUUGCUUUUCUUCGGAUUUGUUUUGAAUCUUAUAUCCAUGCAGUUUGCCACUGAGUUGCGUGUCCCCAUCACUGUGAAGAACAAACAAACGCAGGUGUAUGUAUUUGCUGAGCAUGGCACUGACCUCGGGAGUUCCAAGGACGUGAAGGGCAACCCUACAGAGUUCUUCCGACGCGCAGGCUCUGGGUCCUCCUAUGGCAUUGGUGUCAAGCUCGGCACGGUAAGGGCGGAGUACGCUGUAGAUCACAAUGCUGGUACGGGAGCCUUCUUCCUGAGAUUUGGCGAAAGAUUCUGAAGGCCGCGUCUCUGUCCAGCUUGACGAUCAGAAAGCCCUAUGUAAAUUCGACUGCCAACUUUCUAGAAUAAAAUUAACUCGUGAAGAUAUAACGUCACUGAAUCUUGUAGCAGCAAGGCCCGCGUUAUGAAUGGUUGAGAGUAAAGUCAGAUUCAACUGGAAUAAGAGUUUCGUUUUGAUGGAAGGAUGUCAUUGUACUCUCUUCCUCCGUGGAACUGUACUAGAUGGUAGUCUCGGAGUAUUAUCUUGAACUUGGUAACUAAACCUAUUGAGUGUUAGGAGGAUAAAACUCUUCUCUCAAACUAGAACUUGUGCAUUCACGAUGCAUCCGACAGCUUGCAUCUGUCAGGUGCACGAGAGCACCAGAUGUACUCGGAGCACCCGAUCUUCUCUUACAUCAUUUUUUAAUCUAAAUUGCACAAAUUUGAUAAAUUUGGGCUUUGGGUGAUUUCGAAAUUGCUAUCGCAUUUUCUAGAAUUUAAAAAGUUAUGAUUUAAUCAAAAAUUCAUAACUAACUUAUUUCAAAUCUAAAAAAUAUGAAGUUGGUACAAAAUUUUUCUAAAAAUGUAGGCUAUUUGUUCAUACUCUAUUUGAAAUUGUUUACAUCAUAUUUGUUACUAAACCUAGUGUUAUAUUGUUUUUAAUAAAACACAAGGAACAUGAACAAUCUAGUUUUAAAUAAUGCUAAAUAGUACACCAACAGAUAGUUUACAUUUUUAGAAAAAUUUUGGCACCAAUUUAAUAUUUUUCUGAUUUGAAAUGAAUUAGUUAUGAACUUUUUAAUUAGAUCUAAACUUUUUAAAUUUCUAAAAAAUUGCAAACCACUCCUAAAACUAUCCAAAUGGCUAAAUUUAUCCGGUUUUGACAUAUGAAUGGCCCUCCGUGUCCAGUUUUGUAGUUGUCAGUAUAGACAUGUGUCACAUCACUUUAUUAAUGAAGUAAAAAUUCCUACAAAACCUUCGCUGCAAAUGGCCUUACCGCCUCCCGAUUAUCACCGUUUGUUGUUACCUUUUUCUUUUCCAUUGCUAUGUUUGUCCUCCUCGCCUUUGUGCUCCCCACGUUAGGUGAAUUUUCAAACCUUUAAGGCUAAGAUUGGGAGCCCUUUGUUUUCUCAUUUUUUUAAAACAAAAGAAGAAGAAAAUGAAAAGCGGCUUUACCUGCACAACUGCAGUUUUGGCUAGAAUUUACUCCUAUGUCGAGUAAUUGCUCAUGUAGUGUCGCGGCAUCUUCCAUCGCUUCGACUCCUAUGCAUUAACGCAUGGGAACGCAGCAAUCGGAAAGUUCAGUCUUGAGUGCGGCUGCCUUGGACGGUGCAGGGUGGAGAGCGGGGAGGCUUUGCAUGCAUGGAGUUAAUUAUUAAUGGGCUAAUGGCCGCCUAACCUUCUCCGUUCUGCUUGUGAUAAAACUGAAUCGGCGGCGCAUGCCGGACACCCGUUAUAUAGACCAAACAUGCUUAUGACUAAAAUAAGCUGAAGCUGAAACUAGUAGCCAAACGGUAUACUUUUUUCAGCUUCUUCUGUCUGCGCUUCUCUCCACAGGUUCCAUUUGUUUUCCUAUAUUAGUACAGUUUAUUUGAGAAGCAGCUCCCGCAGCAGUACCGUCGUAACCACACGCCCGGCGGAAAGCCUGGGAAAGCAUAGUACCAGCAAAGGAGUCGCCGGAGCCGCCCGCGAUGACGAAGUACGUCACGCUCUCCGUCCGGGACGAAGAGUACCGCGAGAUCACCCGCACCAUGCGCACGACCGACAAGCUGCACACCCUCAUCGAUUUCUACUACGACAUGGUGCCCGCCGUCGCGUACGGCGAGGGGGCCUUCCUGCACCGCGGCGAGCCGGUCGACAGGAUGAAGACGCCGGCGGACUACGGGAUGCGCGAUAGGGACGAGCUCGCCUUCUCGUCGCAGAUCGACUCGAGCACGUUCCUCACGCUGACCGUGCGGGAAGAGGAAGGGCUCGGGUCCUUCUCCCUCACCUUGCGAACGACCGACCAGCUGCGGGACCUGAUGGACUUCUGCUACGAGAUGGUGCCCACCGUCGACUACGGCGACGGGGUCUUCCUGUUCAACGGCAGGCGGGUUAAAGGCCACCGGACUCCGGAGGAGCUCGGUAUGGUGGAUGGCGAUUGGAUCGGUGUUACUUUCAGAGUUCGUUACUGAACGUCGUCGGGCUGCUUCCGCUGAACCGGCACCGCCCGUAUGUUGCUGCACUUUUCGUUGUGUAAGCAGCUGCUACUUGCGUGCAUCUAAAUUUCACGCAUCUUUUGUUCCAAAAUUUAUCGAUAUCCAUGAAUCGAUCCCUCUCACUCAUCUCACCGUGCUUAUGAUGUACUGAAAUAUGUCAUGGUUACCUAUUCUAGAGUAUCGAGUUUAAAGCCAAAAAAUAUGUAGUAUGUCAAUGUGACUUGAAGUGACAUGAUUCAACACUUUACACAAAAGCAUGGUCGUGCAACUUGAUUGAAUUGAUUCACAUUUUGUGAACAAAAACUAAUUCAACAAUUUCAAUGACCUGAUCUAGCGUUUUGUUAAACUAAUCGAUUCAACAUUUUAUAUCAAACUGUUUAGAAUGUUGAACUAGCGCGCUCAAACUUCUGAACUUCCUACGAUCGGAUCGGCCCAACCACAGCCCUAAACGGUCCGGCCCAGGGCGGCCUCGGUCGGUUGCCCUCUCGCCCAGCACGGGACCAUACCCGGUGCAGCGAAUAGGGUAUCCUCCCGCCGCCGCACUCUCUUCGUCCCGGAUCGAUCCCCAUUCCAUUCCCCACCCGGCUCCAGCACGGAACUUUCCUCUCUCUAGGGUUCCCCCCCUAUCCCCCUCGAGUCUCGACCGUACCAGGUAAAUUACAGGUCCACCCGUCCCGCGUUCGGUCCGAUCCCGUGAUUCGAGCCUUCGCGCAUCGAUCCGGGACUCUUCCGCCCGCAAAUUUCCCCGCGGCGGAGUUUCGCGGCCUCUUUGUAUUUGGGCCAUUCGAGUUGAUUAUUUUGGAGGAUUGAGUGUGCGUUGUUAGAUUUUUUGUGCGACGACUGCGGUGUGUUAAUUGGAGGUUGAAAGAAUUGUAGCUGUUUUGAGGCGGCAAGCGAGUGCUGCAGAAGCAUCACAUCUGCGCCGAGGCAUGGAUAAGGAGCUCUUCGCCAACGACGGCUCCUUCAUGGAGAGGUUCAAGCAGAUGCAGCAGGAGAUGCAGGAGAAGGAGAAGGCCGCUGCUACUGAAGCCUCAUCGGCUCCCAAGCACGGGAGCUCCAAGCCGGGGUUUGCUGUUGCGGCGAACAAGAGGCCGUUCGAGCUGAAGAAGGCUGGUCCAGUCGCCACGGGCGGGAAGCUGGCCUUUAGCCUGAAGAAGGCCAAGGUCGCGGUCGCCCCUAUUUUUGCGGCCGACGAAGAGGAAGAGGAUGUGGAGAGGGAGGAGCCUGCCAAGCGCCACAAGUCUGUGCAAGCUGAUGCUCCUGUGGCAGCUACCCCGGCAGGGGCUGUUGGUAAUCAUUUAUUUAUUAAUUCAUUCAUUCAUUUAUUGCUGUUAUAAUAUAAAAAAUUAUUAGUGGUUUCCCAUUCUUUGGAUUUUUUGUUGGCGUUCUGUGGGUGUAGUUGCUAUCAAAUGAUAAGAUAGAAAUAUGCGACAAGAAUUUUAAUUCAAUAAUUGUCCUAGAACAUCAGCUAUAUAUUGCCUCUUAUCUUUUUUGCUUUUGAAUUCAUUCCCCAUAUAUGUGACAUAUCAUAGGUUUUACUCUUGAGAUGACUUCUAAUUUGGUAUCCCAUACCCCAAUUAAUACCACCGACACAUAUGGUUAUAUUGUCAUUUUUUAAUACAUUUUUCUGUUCCAUGCAUUUGAGGGUGUUAUCCUGAGUCCUGACAGUAUUGCAUUCAUAUUGAUAGUGAAACGAACUAACUAGAUACUUUUUAUUUCAUUUGUCACAUACUGAUUUAACUAGAAAGUAGCACUGCGUUGCAUAUGCAUUUUUAGUGAAAUUAUUACUUGUAGGACUGCUUGGAUGUCAAGUAUAUUUUGGUUUCGUAUGGUUUCUAUAAUAUGUCAUAGCAUAAAAACUUUUAGGUGUUGGUAUACAACUAACAGUGUACAAAUGUAGUAUUCCAACCACCAUGUUAUUUUGGAGUUUAUGAAGGAAACCCAUUAAACACCUCUUUUUCCUAAAAAGUAAACACGAGGCAUGCUACGAUUUCCCUUUCUCACCACAUGCGAAGUAUUUAGCAUUCCUGUCUAAUUUCAUGCAGUACUAUCAGUAAACACAUUCCUAAUGUGACUAAUCUGAAUUGCAUACAUUCAUUUUGGAUUGUUCACAGUAUUACUUUAGCCUUUUUUUAUCUCCAUAUAUAUAAAGUAUUGUUAUAAUUAGCCUACCCCAACUUGCUUGGAACUGAAAGGCUAUGUUGUUGUUGUUGUUAUUGUUAUAAUCAAAGCUAACUGCAUUCAAAUAGGCAAAUAGUAUGUAUGUAUGUAUCAUGCUUUAUUUAGUUUUCCUCUGUUGGAUAGUUCUUCUAUAUACUGUAGAAAAUGGUGGUUUUCACAAUUUAUGUUGUUUCAGUUCCCAUGUAUUAAAAAUAUGGUUUUCAAAAACUCUGCUUUGAAAUGUUCCUGACAUCAAAACACAUCCUUAUAGUAUUGAUUUCAUGCAUUUACAAAUGAUAAAAAUGGAUCUAGAAAGCAACAAAUUGCAAUGCACAUUGGUGUUGGAAUCGACCAUCUAACAGUGUUUAAUAAUUUUUUAAAACUAUCCAAGAAAAUUGCUUGCUGUUGCACAACGUGAUUUAAACCCUCCGUUUAUGCUUGGCUCAUACGUUGUUAGGUUUACAAAAGAAACAUCUUUCUCAGUGUUUGGGUUCAUUAUAAGUCAGGCAGCAGAAAGUCGUGAAGGUUUUGUUUUUUUUUUCCGAUAACUGCAGCUUAUAGAUGAACUGUAUUGGCAUUGCCAGGAAGGAUAUGAUUGAAAGAGUUGGAGACUCUACUGCAGUAAUUUGCAUUGCCUUGUCAAUAUGCUUGAUAUUAAUAGUUCUUUAAGUGACAUGCAGCCCCACCCCCACCAAAUGAUAUGACAGUGAAGCAAGUUGCUGACAAAUUGGCAAGUUUUGUUGCAAAAAAUGGGAGACAAUUUGAGAAUAUCACACGGCAGAGGAAUCCUGGAGAUACACCAUUCAAGUACGACUGCACUACUUAUUUUUCUGAUAAACUCUGUUUUACUUUUAAAUUCUAAAAUCUGACUUUAAUAAAUUAUUGAUAUAAAUCUUGGGUUAUUUGCAGAUUUCUAUUUGACAAACACUGUCCAGACUACAAAUAUUAUGAGUUUCAGCUUGCUGAAGAGGAAAAGGCUCUUGGUCAGUCAAAGGAUGCUGAAGCAUCAAAAAAUGGUUUGUGGCACAAUUUUUUUAAUCAUUUUCUAUAUCUAAAAGUUCUAUAAAAGUCUUGAUGCUAUAUACUCUUGUUAAUGUAGCUAGUUCUAGCACUGCAAGCUUCAAAGCACCAAGUGGUCCGUAUAAAAGCUCAUUUGAACAAAAGUCCAACUAUCAGACACCUGCAUCAGCUUUGUAUGGGGCAUAUGAGGGUAGUUCUUCCCAAGGAAGCUCAUCUAGUUAUGGUAAAAUAUACAUACAUGGUUUCCUUUAUCAAAUGUUAUAUAUCUACAUUCUCUAUGUUCCUGGACUGUUCGCCUGUUUACAUUUGUUUGAGUUUGCAUUUUGCAAGUCAUCCAAAUCAGGCACUUCUAUUGCCUUAGUAUCUUAUUGUUAUUUCUGAUGUCUUGAAUAUUAUGUUUCAUCCUUGUAGCUUCAAUGAAUAGAUAUAUUGUAGGGUUUCUGUUGUGAACCAUUAAAACCCUACUGCCUGUCAUCUCCCUGAUCUAUAGUUUGCUUUAGGAGUAAAAACCAUUGCUUCCUAUCUUGAACUGUUUCUUGUUAUUAUAUGUGCUUAAUGCUAGUUCAUCAUUUUGCAGGUGAUCACAAUACAUCUGCACCGUCAGAUCCUGUAGCUUUGAUGGAAUUCUAUGCGAAGAAGGCUGCACAGGAAGAACGGAAGAGGCCACUAAGACAGUCAAAAGAUGAAAUGCCGCCACCUCCUUCUCUUCAAGGUACAUUUUUUGCAACAUGAUUUGCCGUACUGGAAGAACAUAAAAACUUCAAUAUUUGUUCUACAACUAAAAAUUCUUGUUUUGCAGGUCCUCCUAAGAAGGGACACCACAUGGGUGACUUCAUUCCUCAAGAAGAACUUGAAAAGUUCAUGGCACGCUGUAAUGAUGCUGAAGCACAAAAGGCUACGAAAGAAGCUGCCGAGAAGGCUAAGAUUCAGGCAGACAAUAUUGGCCACAAACUUCUAUCUAAGAUGGGUUGGAGGGAAGGUCAGUCAUUGAUGAAUACUAAAUAACAUAGUCACCAUUACAGUAAUUCUCUGAUCAAACCCUGUCAGAUCUUUUUUUCAAAGUCCCAGAUGUUUAUGGCAACAGUACAUCAACCCCUCUGACCUUGACCGUCAUAUUCAUCCAACAAACCUUAAAAAAUUGUCAAAUUAUGCUGUUAACAAAGCCUUCCAUCCCAAAUACCAGAUAUAAGAACUAUUUACAAUGGAUCCUUUUUCCUCAGCAUUGUCCUGCAUGCAUUAAUUCUCAAUAUCCCUACCCGGUGGAACCUUUUUUGUCAGGCACAUAGGAAGGCAAUUAGCGAUAAUAUGCACCAUUCCACUUCCAGGUGUUAAAUAUAAUUUACUGUGCAGGUGAGGGUCUUGGUAGUGAGAGAAGAGGCCGUGCGGAUCCCAUUAUGGCUGGAGAUGUGAAGAAGGAUCAUCUUGGUGUUGGUGCUGUCAAGCCUGGUGAGGUCACAUCUGAAGAUGACAUCUACGAGCAAUACAAGAAGAGAAUGAUGCUUGGAUACCGCUAUAGGCCAAACCCUCUGGUAUAUUUGCUGCCAUUGUCUACUUCCAGGAGUUGUAUGUUAUUUCUGUUUGCCUAAACACUUCUGCUAUUUUUGCAGAACAAUCCAAGGAAACAAUAUUACUGAUACAGGUUAGUUCAUCUAAGAUGUAAGACACCAAUUUUGCUGUAUUUUUGCUCACAUAACUAACAGCUAGGGAGUAUGACUAACAGCAUUGAAAGUUUUUGUUCAUCAGCAGAAAAACUAAGAAGCUCAUUUAGUCAGCAUAUAUCUUGGAAUGCCACAGAUCUGAGGCUUACGGGGGGUUCAACCGUAGCUUUGUUCUUUGUGUAGUGUUGAUCUUUGUUGCUUUAAAUUCACUUCCAUGGUGAUGUGUUGAAACGUGGAGCAUAGUUUCAUAAUGUGAUGUAUUGCCUUCUUGGAUGACAACAUAUCUUUCCUGAUUAUUCAUCUUUUUGUUGGGAUUUAUUGCCGCAAUAUCAUAUUUCCAUACUGGGAGGCAUAAUCUAAAAGUCUGUUGCAAUGGUUCUAUUUUAUUCUGGAUUCUGGAAUUUGAAUAGCUAUGUGGAACGUGAGUGUCGGUACGGAAGCUAUUACUUACUGGCAGCAUAUAACUUGGCGUUAUUUCUGUAGGAGUUAAAAUUCUGUUAUGCUCUCUGCCACUCUGAUGUGCUGAAUUAAUGGGUUACUUUGAUUGUGAUCUAAGCGCUUAUGGCCUGAUGGGCUAAUCUUAUUACACGGUUUUAUUGCAUAGUUACUUAGAUUGAAAACUAGGUAAUAGUGCUAGAUGAGUGUUAUGGGGAUUAAACUCAUUUCUUGUUUGAUGAAACUAUCUUUAUUCAUUACCUUGCCAAGUUAGGUCUCGUUCGUUUCAUCAGGAUUGGAUUCCAGCCAGGAUUACUUCCAGGUCCGGUUUGAGUGAUUCCACCCGUGUCACUCAAUCCGGCCAGGAUUCAUUCCAGGGGUGAGGAGUUAUGGUUUCAAUCCAGGCCAUCUAAUGUAGUAGGAUUCCAAUCCAGAUCGGUUUUCGUUCCAGGCAAGACUAAAACGAACAACACUUUCAAUGCAAGUCUGGUUUCAAACCGGACCAAUUCAAACCACCCGGAAUGAACCUCAUUCCGGGCCAAUCCGUGAAAACGAACAGGCCUUAGCAAUUUUGGUGUGGCAUGAACUCUCGUGAAACAGACUGACCUUACUGUUAUGCUCUCUGCCUCUCGGUCUCGGAUGUGCUGCAUUAAUGGGUGACGUUGAUUGGAAACCACAGUAAGGGAGACAUAAAUUUAUAUUUUAGGAAAAUAUCGUAAAGUUUGCACAAGCGUAUCUAUUACUCUAUAUUAAUGUUGCUAGACUAGACGAAAUCUCAGAGGCUGAGCUACUGUUCACCGACGCUGGUACGUGGGUCCGAAAUCCAAUCAGUUAUGAAAAAAAAAAAAAGAAGAAGAUUCGAGAGUCCACAGGUCUCGGUCCUCCACGACCACGAAGAAUCGGCGAACUCCAUUUGCCUAGCCGCACCUAUCGCCGUUGGUCCGCUCCGCACGCUGGGGCCGCCGGCUCGCUCCGGCGCCCGCUCCCUCGACCGGCGGAUCGCGCCGCCGCCCGCUCGAGCAGCCGCAUGCGCCGCCCGGUGGGAAUGUGAGAGCACAUCAGCAACCACCGGCGGCCGUCAACACCACUUGAAUCUUGGCAUGGAGAGAGAGAAAGAGAGAACAGAGCUGUGCAGCGCAAAAGUCUGGACAACCAACCGAAUCAGGCCACCGGCGUCGGCUCUGCCAUUGCUUCCACCGAUAGACUUCCAGAGCAGUCUGCCACCGUGGCCUCUCACUACCCUCUCUAGAGCAACCAGCAGCCGUGGCUCCGCGCUCACCGAGCCCAAAAAUGAUGGCCUUCUAGCUGCAGGCAAGACCUCAAUCCGCAGGAAUCAAAUUCACUCUCCAAGUCUUUGUAGCUUUUGUGGAUGGAUGGGGGAGAGAGAGAGAGAGAUUGCCAUGGGGAUGACCGGAUGACUAGAUGAAGGGAUAAAGGGCACAGUGCACUUAAAAAAGAAAGAAAAUAGGCCUUUUAGACGCUUUCCUCACUGGCUUUUUACAAAACAGGAGGGGAUCCCUUACUAAUUACUAUAUUAAGCAAAACAAAGAGAAAGUAUGUACAAAAGAAAAGAUAUUUAGCGAAUGAAAGAAAAAUUACAGCAGAGUAUGCAACCGUCGUACUUCAAUGGGAAAAUAGGAUUUCUUUGCUAAAUAAUGAUUCAGAGCAAAUAAAUGCAUAAAAAUCUCUUUCAUCUAGAGGAACGGCAUGAAUUUGAAUUCUGGUUUCAUUCUGAUUUGUUUCCUAAUUUUGUUCAAUACUCAAUACUAUAAUAUAUACUUAUAGCAAAGUAGAGAGAUUACAUAUGUAACUCUUUCCGUUAUUGCUUUGAGUUAAUAUUUUUGUACAGGCGCGCAUCGCGCGCCAAUCUAUCUAGCAUGGCACUUGGUGAGAUACGAAAGUUGACAAGUAGGGCCCAUUCUUGCCCCCCUUGUCUCACCAUCUCGUAUCUCGCGGCUGGCUCACUUGAACUACCAUGUGCUGGGCACCUGAAGCUGAAAUGCUGAAAGCGAAGCGCCCGCCGCCCGCAGCGAUCAGAGCGCCGGUACAGGAAUCUCUCACGCAGUCACGCUGCUGAUCGCCUCCCUCCCCAGUCCUCACUGAUUGCGCUUUGCCUCUGGCCCGGCCGGGGCCCCGGGCCUCAUGCAUGUCCAGUCACGCCCACCAAACGGAACGCAGCCAUCUUUUUGUAAUAAGCACCAAGUUGGCGGCGUUAACAAUGCGGGAUAAUCCGCUGGAUCAUCAUCGGGGACGCUGGCCUGGUUUGAUGACCUGGACGAAUAUCAUCGAGCUACCAAUCUUGGAAGAGAAGUCUGGAGGCGCAUGCUGUCGGGUGUCAGCCUGUCUCCACCGCUGGCCGCCUCGCUGUCAGCUGUACUGCACUGCACCCGGUCACUCAUUCACUGGCCGGUAGGCAAGCUUGAGGCUCAAGUAGCCGCCAUAAGCCUCCAUUGAGUACUCCUGCCAGCAUCACUGCCCAGACCUCCAGAUUUGUGGAGUGACGGUAGUAGCAGGUUACUUCUGGUAGGAAAUCGAAACCAUUCAGGACCAACGCCUGUCCGCUGGCGACAACGAAAAGCCGUUAUGGCGAGCGAUCGAUCCUGGUCUGGUUACAGUUAAGCGCGCCUCGGGUGUUAGGAUACCCCAUGCUAAAGUUUAGCACAUGUCACAUCGGAUGUUUGAUGCUAAUUAGGAGUAUUAAACAUAGGCUAAUUACAAAACUAAUUGCACAAAUAGAGUCUAAUUCAUAAGACGAAUCUAUUAAGCCUAAUUAGUCCAUGAUUUGACAAUGUAGUGCUACAGUAACUAUUUGCUAAUGAUGGAUUAAUUAGGUUUAAUAGAUUCAUCUCGCGAAAUAGCAUAGGGGUUUUGCAAUUAGUUUUAUAAUUAGUUCAUAUUUAGUCCUCCUAAUUAGCAUCCGAACAUCCGAUGUAACACUGCUAAAGUUUAGCAUCCAGUAUCAAACACCCGUCGUCGGUCUGACUGCUCCGAACGUUGUCGUUCCACCGGCCCCGAGAUCAUUCCCGGCUGCCUCGCAGCUGUGCGCGCGCUGGCGACCGCCUACCGGCCGCCAUGAUACGAGCCGCGCCGCGGACGUCAGGUUCGGCCGCUCGUCUCGUGGCGGCCGGUGGAGACUGGAGAGGUGACCUCGAGACAAACCAAUCCAGGAGGCCGCGGUGGUUGGCCACUCGCGAUCCGACCCGCGCGGGUCCCCCCGUGAAGUUCCCCCUUCGAGAUCGCGAGCCAAAAAUAUCGCAUCCCCGGCCGGCCGGCCCAGCUCCAACCUCCAACAGGAAGCAAAAAAAAAUCAACGGGCUUGUGGCGGUCGCGGUCUCGGGGAUCCGUCGGCCGGAGCGGCCGAACGAUCGCGUGUGGCGGCACGCCGCGCCGGGGACAUGAGGCGUCGGGCCGCGUGGAAGUGGAGGCGUGCGUGCUCAUAAAUGAGCACGCCUAGAAGCGGCCAGGAGUCCAGGACGGCGUGGUCGUCGUGUCACGGGCACUGCGCGCACGCCAGUGCCGUCCAUCACGUACCGUCGGCCGUGCGUUCUCUUUGCAGCGGCACGGUUUGGACACCGGAGGAAGUACGUGACAGGAUUUGGCAUGCGACCACUCGCACCGUACUUUGUAAAAAAGAUCAAGUAGCGUGGCGCAUUUCGGUUCCAGGCUUGGAUUACUCGCCGAGAUAGGCCGGGUGACAAGAUUAGGCUAGCUAGGGUAUGAAUGAGUGGUCGCAUUUUUCACUUUAUGGGUUUUUUAGAUCGCUUCCAGUUCAAAUUAUUCGUGAACCGAUCUAUGGACCGUCGAGAAGUUCAAACUGGAUUCCGAAGUAUUCGAAUCCAAAUCUCGGCGUGGCCGUGACCGUGACCAAACAGCCCAAGUGGGCGAGCUGCUGCUGCUGACCCGGCCGCGCAACCGCCUCCACAUGACCCAUCUCAUCUCAGGCUCUCCGCGGCUGGCACCCCACGUGCCGGCGCUGGCCUGACACCUUGGCGCAUGGGCGCGGCGCCCACCCGGCCAGCUCCGGUUGGGUACACCCGGUCCUUGCUUGACGGUGGAACAAAAACACGGCCGGCCCGGCAGCGUACGCGCUGCUGAUAAAAAGGCUAGCGACCGGGUAAAUUGUCGCGGCAUUUUGUCGGGUUAGACCGGCGCACCGUAGAUCGGUUCAUGGACCCCUGGUGACCUAGCGUCAUAGCUCGUCAUUUAGACAUAGGCAAAAGAAGAUCUUCAUAGAAGAAUGUGUUAGAAAAACGGAAAAACUCCAUCCUUAUUAGUCACUUGGGAAGCGUGCUACGACAAAUAAAAAA
rnacentral:lncRNA from 1 species